GAUGAACGCUGACAGAAUGCUUAACACAUGCAAGUCGAUGGGGAAGUGGUGCUUGCACCAUGGCAACCAUGGCGGACGGGUGAGUAACGCGUAAGGGACUUACCUGCAGGACUGGGAUAACAGGGGGAAACUCCUGACAAGACCGGAUAAUGUCAUGGAGCUGCAUGGCUUUAUGAUGAAAGGAGACGCCUGCGGAGAGCCUUGCGUCCUAUUAGCUAGUUGGUGAGGUAAUGGCUCACCAAGGCGAAGAUAGGUAGCCGGCCUGAGAGGGUGGACGGCCACAAGGGGACUGAGAUACGGCCCUUACUCCUACGGGAGGCAGCAGUGGGGAAUAUUGGACAAUGGGGGCAACCCUGAUCCAGCAAUUCUGUGUGCACGAAGAAGGUUUUCGGAUUGUAAAGUGCUUUCAGCAGGGAAGAAGUAAGUGACGGUACCUGCAGAAGAAGCGACGGCUAAAUACGAG
rnacentral:rRNA from 1 species